AUGGCCUGGUCUCGGCUGCAGCUCAGCCUCCGCGCCUCCUACUCCGCCUACUCCGGCUUCAGCUCGGUGGCGGGCUUCUCCAUCUUCUUCUGGGCCGUGCUCUACCGACAACUGGGGACUACGGCGAUGGGGAGUCUCCCAGGUAUCCUGGCACUGUGGGUCUUGGUGACUCACAUGAUGUACAUGCAGGAUUGCUGGAGGACCUGACUGAGAGGGCUGUGUGGCAUCUUCGUGGGUGCUCUCUUCUCCACCGUCUCCAUUUCUGCCUUCCGCAUCUUCCUGAUGUUGGCCAUCACCCAGCACCAGAGUCUCAAAGACCUCAACAGCUACGACCGACCUCUCCUGGGUCUGGAGCUUCAUUUCCUUCAAGUGAGCCUUCCUACUCAGCCUCUACGCCCACCACUACCUGGCUGCCUUCGUCGACAUUGGCAUCCUCAGUGAUUUCUAACCCAGAGAAUGAGGAUCCCUUCUGAGUGGACAUGGGCCCAAGGCAAGGGACUGCUACACGUAUCCUUCUCUGCUCUGAGACGCAGCUCACGUGCCUGCAUUUUAUGAUUAAUA